GGCACAAAUGAUGAGUAUUUUGGGACUUAAUACUGAAUUCAUGAUGAAACUUUCAGCUGAUGUGC